rnacentral:rRNA from 1 species
AUACAUGCAGUCGAGCGCGGGAAGGAGGGAUCACCCUUCGGGUGUGAACUUGUGGAACGAGCUGGCGGACGGGUGAGUAACACGUGGGCAACCUACCUAUAAGAUCGGGAUAACUCGCGGAAACGUGAGCUAAUACCGGAUAAUGCAUUCCACCUCCUGGUGGAUGAUGAAAGACGGUUUUCGGCUGUCACUUAUAGAUGGGCCCGCGGCGCAUUAGCUAGUUGGUGGGGUAAUGGCUCACCAAGGCAACGAUGCGUAGCCACCUGAGAGGGUGAUCGGCCACACUGGGACUGAGACACGGCCCAGACUCCUACGGGAGGNAGCAGUAGGGAUCUUCCGCAAUGGACGAAAGUCUGACGGAGCA